GACAGGCUAAUUAAUGCGUGGUUUUGCAAGGAGAUUGAAGAGAUGCUGGAUGUGACUCUCAAGCCAGUAGGAAGUCUCAGGCUCAGGAGAGAAACGACACCCAGCUACCUGAUAGAAAGAAAGAGAGCUCAGCUGCAGGGACGUGGGACAUGUCAGUACACUCAGGGUUGGAAAACGGUCACUAGCUUAUUUCAUGGAGCCAAACGUCUGUGGCUAUUGGAUGGCUCAGUGUGGAUCCAUAAAUUCUGCACUGUGUAGGCUGCAGAUAUGGGAUGCUUCUAGAGGCUUUCUGUGCCACUGGCAGCCCUUUGGGUUGUGAUAAUCCCCAACAAAUGUUUAGAUGCAGGUUCCCUAAUUUUUAAUAUAUAUAUAUAUUUAAUAUAACCCCUAAAAACUCCUUUUCUAUUGACCUGCCUGACAUUCUAUCUCCAGUUCUGUUUUUUUUCCCCCUCCUUAUCCAUACCACUGUCUUCCAAAUUCAUGACUUACUCUUACUGCUUCCCUAUCUACCAGCCCAGACAGCCAACCUGGGCUGCAUCUAAAGCAGCAUGGCCAGCAGGGCGAGGGAGUUGAUCCUGCCCCUCUGCUCUGUGCUUUGAGAACUCACCUGGAGCACUGCGUCCAGAUGUGGAGUCCUCAGUACAGGAGAGACAUGGAGCUGUUGGAGUGCAUCCAGUGGAGGGCCACAAGAGUGAUCCAAGGGAUGGAACACCUCCGCUACAAAGAUGAGCUGAGAGAGCUGGGGAUGUUCAGCCUGGAGAAGAGACUUGAUAGAUGCCUUUCAGUAUCUAAAGGGGGUCUAUAAGAAAGAAAGGGACUGACUCUUUAGCAGGGUCUGUGGUGACAGGACAAGGGAAAAUGAUUUCAAACUAUAGGAGGGGAGAUUUGGAGUUCUUUAUAAUAAGGGUGGUGAGGCACUGGCACAGAUUGCCCAUAGGGGUGGUGGGUGCCCCAUCGCAAGAGACGUUCAAAGUCAGGCUGGACAGGGCUCUGAGCAUCUGACUGAGUUACAGAUGUCCCUGUUCACUGCAGAGGACUUGGGCUAGGUGAUCUUUAAUGGUCCCUUCCAACUCAAAUGAUUCUAUGGUCUGUUAUCUUCUUCCCCUCCCCACUGAGCAUCACUACCCUCCCAAAUCCCAGCAUUUUCCCUAUGAAGCCUCCCCUCCUCUUCUGAUCUGGAAAUCCAUGCUCCAACACCUUCACAGUUGAAACACAAUUCAUGCAUCAUAUGCUACCACGUGGUGGUGGUUCCAGCAUGGAUAUUUAUGGAUAUUUAUGCAUGCUCAACCACCUUAGUGGCCACUGUCCCUCAUUCUGAAUGCUGGAAGACAACCUGCUUCAUUUCUGAGAAGAAGGCUUUUUCUCUCCCCAGCUUAACAAGUACAUUCCCUUGCAGACAGAGCAAUGUCCUCAGGGACUGUGGUUUUUUAGAAGUGUGUCUAAACUGUCCAAGUGAACAUGUGGGAAAGACCAUAGCCCUCUAGCACUCAUCUGCUUGCCUCUUGCACUCAGUAUAUUUGGUUUGGAUAGGGGCCCUUGCACCAGAAAGCCUGAACCUGUUUCUGAAGAGCUGCUGGAACAUAUGCUGGGUAAUAUACAGCAGGAGGAUGAAUCUCAUAGGACAAGGAAAGCUUUUCCAGACUGGUGCUGAGGUGCUGCUACUGACACUGCUGAUGUCUAAACCUGGACCCUAAUGAUAUGGAUAGGGUAGUUUUAUUUAUUUAUCCAUUUACAUUGAUCUUUCAUAAAGACUGUUAAAAAAGCACAGGAGAUUGAAGAACACAGAAAAAAAAAAAAAAGGCAAUGUCCUGUGUAGGUGUAAAGCAAACCUUCUGCACUCUAUCCAGAUGACUCAGUCUUGCCCCACAAACUCCUUCCUCAGCCUAACCUCUGUGGGACUGUAGGAAUGCAGAACAGCCUACCUGCUUCUAACAAUCUCCUGGGUGCUUACAGUCUAAAAAUACCACACAGAAAUAAUGAUCCUUGGUACGGAGGAGGUAAAUCUGCAUCUCCGUGACUGUCUGGAGAGCACUCGAUGAUGGCUCACGUCACGAUUCCUUGUUACUGCAUCCCUAGCCAUCCCGCCAGCACUGCACGACCUCAGCACGGCGUCUUGGUCCAAGCUUAAAGCUUUGAACUCUUCAGCUCAGCCUUGCAGGCUCGUUGGCAGCCACAUGUUGUGGGAAUGAUGUAUUCUCUUGGCACUGGCCUUCGUGUUCCAUUGCUGGGGCAGCCAAAUAUGAAGACAGAUUUCGCAAGGUAGAAUGGAGGUACCAAGACUUGCUGUGUUGUCCCAACUCUGGUGAAUGAUAACCACAAAUUCUCGCUUAGGUUUUCUUGUGGUGAAGGUGAAAUUCAAAGAAUGGUGACCCGGGAAAUGAGACACACAAAGCUUGUUCUCGGAGAGGUUGUUAGGCACACCAUGAGAAGUAUUUGCUAUUAGUGGGCAUUAUGUACACGUUGAGCCCUCCUCUUUGUCAUACAAAGUAGCCCUGAAGGCACCUCACCCAAAGAUCAUUGUGUCAUUCCCACUCAUAGGUGUUUUGGAAAGGCUCUUAGCUACCAGGAGCUCUUGCAGCUUUCACAUCCCAGAGAUGUGAGCAACCCAGCCACGCAGAUGGCCCCAGGAUCAGUAUUGCUUUCACCCAGUGGGACCCGUGGGCUUCCCAAAAGUGAAAAGAUGGACAGAGCAGCUUGGGAAGUCUCAUGGCAGUUGACUGUCUACAAAAUCGAAGUGCAGAAGCUGCAGUACUUUUAUUUCACUGCAGGAAAUCCAAGACUCUAGGAAGACUUGUGGCAGUGGUGGGUUGAUGGUUGGACUAGAUGACCUUAGUGGUCGUUUCCAACUGUAAUGGUUCCACUGUUCUGUGAUUCUAAGACUGGCCCAAGCCAAGCCCUGGGAACUCCAGAUACACAACAGGGAAUUUUCAACCCUCCUUUUGUGCAUCUGCAAACCUAAGACUCGUGUCAUCAUCCUUCAGUAGACCAUCAGCUCUUCCAGAGUCUCAUUUACUCAGUUUCUGAAGCCUGGAGGAACUAGAAACCUUGACAUGCAGCAGAGAGCUAAAUUUAUCUGUGGCACCCUUGGCCACACAGAAGUCAUGCUGUGAAUCAGCUCUGGAGCUGGAAAUAAAGCUUCUUGUCUUCAGGCAGCCCAUAUGGCCACAUAACCUCAAAGCAAAAUUUCUUCAUUACCCAGACACUGAUAAUGCUGAGCAGCCCAUAUGGCAGGGCUGCCCAGGAGCAGUAGAGCUGGAAACCGUACAUCUCAAGCAAUAUUGGCAAGAAAACAAGAAAACAAAAUCAUCAAAGCAGGGAGAAGUGAACAGAAGAAAGAAACUUGUACAGAAAGAGGCAGACAAAGCACAUGUUGCACUGAGAAGUUGUACCACUGCACACACCAUUCCAGCUGUUCCCUGUGCUGAGGCACAUGGUGCAUAUGAUAAUCAUCACUGCUUCUUUUCUCUCCCUCCCCCAAUUAUAAACUGGGAACACUUGAAAAAAAGAAAUCAGUAUAUUGGAUCAAGCUUAGGGCUUGCCUGAUGCUGCGAGGCUGAAAUGAGGAGGAAUAACUGCUACAAAAGAAGGAGGACAGUCGUGCUGUGCAACUUGUAGAGCAGUGUGAACAAGGAUCACAAAGUCCUUCCUAUGUUGGAGGGUCGUAAUGAACCGUCAUGAGCUGUCAGCACCGUGGAAAAAACAUCUUAUGGUUGUGCUCGUAGUAAACCAGCCUACAGGAAACCGUAGAAAACAGCUUGGAAAUUGAAUGUAAAUGGACGUGAAGGCAACUAGAAAGCAAGCGUUCUAAUGCUGAUGGUGUUUCCCUUGUUGAUAAAUGGAAAGCAAACACUGCAAAAGGACAUGGGGAAUAUUCCACUUGAAUCAUCUAUUAAUUUGUCUGUGCUGCAGUCAAUAGUCUAAGAAGUAUCUACUUUAAAGAGAAUCUCGUCGUGAGGUUGGCCCUUUGAAAAGUUUCAGAACUCUGCUAAAUUAAAGUCUCAAACUGCUGAUGAAAAAGCACUCCAGGUGCAAAGGGGAGCUGGCAAAAAAAAGAAUGACUAUAGCGCAGAAGUAAUUAAACAACUUGGAGCAAAUGCAUUUGGCAUGGGUGGAAAUUGGGAUCUUAACGUCAAAUAAUAGGCGUAUGUCUCUUCUGUUGUCAUGCAAUUAAAGAAUGAAACCUGCAGAAGGGAGAGGGUUGUUCUGUUCCUGCUAAUAGCCUGUGAGUGCAGUGAGGGCUGGCUCUCAUGUGUCUUUUUUCUGUAUUCUGGGCACAGCUACAGCUGCUGAGUGGAAAUCAGUAGUCCUGGCUUGUUGCUUGCAAUUAAUCCCUUGCCAUACCGCAGCUUUCCUGGGCUGUUCACAUAGUGUUUGAAAGACAGAUGACACAAAAUAGGUGGGACAGGCCCUUGGCAAAGAUGGAGGAACCUGUCUUUACCAACCCUGAUGUGUCCUCGUCGCAACCAGGCUACUUAGAAGGGUCAACACCAAUUUAGCUGAUAACUUUUUUGUAGAAUCAUAGAAUCAGUAAGGUUGGAAAAGACCAUUAAGAUCGUCAAGUUGAGUUGUCACCACCAAGCUCAUGAAACCUUGUGCUGCUAAACCAUUUACACACUGGAACAAGGAGGUUGUGGAUUCCCCAUCCCUGGAGGCAUUCAAGGCCAGGCUGGAUGUGGCUCUGGGCAGCCUGGUCUGCUGGUUGGUGACCCUGCACAUAGCAGGGGGGUUGAAACUCGAUGAUCAUUAUGGUCCU
rnacentral:lncRNA from 1 species